rnacentral:rRNA from 1 species
GUGGGGAAUAUUGGACAAUGGGCGAAAGCCUGAUCCAGCCAUGCCGCGUGUGUGAAGAAGGUCUUCGGAUUGUAAAGCACUUUAAGUUGGGAGGAAGGGCAGUAAGUUAAUACCUUGCUGUUUUGACGUUACCGACAGAAUAAGCACCGGCAAACUUCGUGCCAGCAGCCGCGGUAAUACGAAGGGUGCAAGCGUUAAUCGGAAUUACUGGUCGUAAAGCGCGUGUAGGUGGUUUUGUAAGUUGGAGGUGAAAUCCCCGGGCUCAACCUGGGAACUGCCUCCAAAACUGCAGGACUAGAGUAGCGUAGAUGGUAGUGGAAUUUCCUGUGUAGCGGUGAAAUGCGUCGAUAUAGGAAGGAACUCCAGUGGCGAAGGCGACUACCUAGACUGAUACUGACACUGAGGUACGAAAGCGUGGGGAGCAAACAGGAUUAGAUACCCUUGUAGUCC